ACAUACCUAUCAAUCCAUCUAUUAAACCAAAUAUUGGAAGUGGCGAAUUAGCUUACCAUCAUUAAAUCCGACUUGAAACCAGAAAAUCGACGACGCCUUUCAGCUCUAGCAUUUCACCGAACACAUGGUGAGUGCCGCGUCGAAUCGCACUUCUUCUUCAUCCACAUCGAGAAUUCUCCGGCCGCGUACUGAUUUGUUUCCUUCCGCGCCUAAUCUUCUCAAAUUUUUGGCGUGCACACAAGUGGAAGACGUCAUGUAGGAGCCAGCAUCAGGGCAAGGCGAUGGAUCGAUGACAAGCACCAAGGAGGGAUAGGCGACGUUGUUGUAGACUCGGAAAAGGGACGAACGACGAUGUCGAACGCGAUCUAGGUAACAGAACAGCAUGCCAACAAGUCCACGAUGACACCACGAGGUGGACGCGGCAACGCACCACCCAACGCGCAAAGAGGGAGCGACGGCUAGCGAGCUGGGCGAGCGCGGACCUUCCAAGGAACGGCGUCAGCGAGCCCCCGACGAGGGAGAAGUGGAAGGAGGCAAGAAGAGAGGGACGCUGGCGAGCUAGGAAGCAGGGACGGCCAGCGCAGCGAGAUGGAGCACGACGCUGGAGGAGCAGAGGGAGAAGACGCCGACCAGGGAGAAGCGUGCGGCCAUGGACGAACUGCAGGCCGCGGCAGGGCGGGCACGAGGCCGGCCAGGGAGAGCAAGGGAGGGAGAUGGACUUGGCGAGCUGGAAGCCAAGCGCCGGCGAGCUGGAGGCCGGGAGGGCGCUCGGCCGGCGAGGUUGGCCGGCGGCACGGCACUGGGGACUGGCGUGGGAGGAUGCGCACGCAGGGACUCCACGGCGCGCAGAUGCCAGGGCGUGCGGCUAGGGAAGAAGAUGGAGCAGAGGACGCUGGCUUGGAGGAGCAGGGGGGUGCACGACGGCCAUGGGAAGCUGGGGCGCGCGCUUAAGGAGGGAGAGGAAGGAGCCGAGCACCAUGGGAACCAAGGCGGGGUUGCGGCCGGCGAGCUGGAGAUGGCCGGCGGCGCGAGCAGGGAAGGAGCAGAGGCCGAGCUCGGCGCACGGCAUAGCGAGUUCGAAGCGGUGCCGAGCAGGGGGAGCCGCCAUGGGCGAGAUCCGUGCUUGAGGGGCGCGGCAAACCUGAAGCCGAGCAGGCAGGGGCGGACGCGCCAGGAGCAAGGGAGCAGGUGCCAGGGACGCAACAGCAGGGAGAUGGGCACCGCGGCUGGAGAAGAUAGGAGGAGCGGCUGGGCACUAGAGAGCCGAGCAGGUGAUGUGCUGCACGAGGAAGAAGAAUGCGUAGCCAGAA